rnacentral:rRNA from 1 species
CGCUGAACUUAAGCAUAUCAUUAAGCGGAGGAAAAGAAACUAACAAGGAUUCCCCCAGUAACGGCGAGUGAAGCGGGAAGAGCUCAAACUUAAAAUCUCCACGUUUACGUGGCGAAUUGUAGUCUAUUGAGGCUGUUAUCAGCAUAGCGACCUGGGAGAAGUCCCUUGGAAAAGGGCAGCAAAGAGGGUGAUACUCCCGUCUCUGCUCAGGUUGUCUGUGUGUACGAUACGCUUUUUUUGAGUCGAGUUGUUUGGGAAUACAGCUCAAAGUAGGUGGUAAAUUCCAUCUAAAGCUAAAUAUUGGUGCGAGACCGAUAGCGAACAAGUACCGUGAGGGAAAGAUGAAAAGAACUUUGAAAAGAGAGUUAAAGAGUACCUGAAACUGUUGAAAGGGAACCGUAUCGUUUCCAGUGUUGAAUCCUAUGUAUAUUUCAUUAGCGGAGAAAUUUGCUGGUGCCCUGUGCAUAGGUGUGACGUCAGGGUCAGUUUGUAUGCUGCGGGAGAUGGUCAGUGAGGAGGUGCUUCACUUCGGUGAAAGUUAUAUCUUGCUGUCUAGUGGCCGUGGUUGAGACUGAGGUGCCUACAACAUGCUCUGGGGUUCGAUGUUGUCUCGUUUUGGUGACUGCUUGGAUAGCUUGCUAUGUCUGCGGUUUAUUGAGGCGAUUGAUGGUAUUGAUAACUUCUGCUGUUCGGGACUCUGGCGAAAUGGAGCGAUACGACCCGUCUUGAAACACGGACCAAGGAGUCUAACAUGUGUGCAAGUAUUAGGGCGUGGAAACCCAAAUGCGUAAUGAAAGUAAAUGGUGCUUAUGCAUCUGUGGUAGGAAAGGGCUGUAAUGGUCCUGGCACUAUCGACCGAUCAUGAACCUACGGGUGAAAGAUUUGAGUAUGAGCAUAUAUGUUGGUACCCGAAAGAUGGUGAACUAUGCCUGAAUAGGGUGAAGCCAGGGGAAACUCUGGUGGAAGCUCGUAGCGAUUCUGACGUGCAAAUCGAUCGUCAAAUUUGGGUAUAGGGGCGAAAGACUAAUCGAACCAUCUAGUAGCUGGUUCCCUCCGAAAUUUCCCUCAGGAUAGCAGCAACUUUUUACGAUAGUUUUAUGAGGUAAAGCGAAUGAUUAGAGGCCUCGGGGAAGAAACUUCCUCGACCUAUUCUCAAACUUUAAAUGGGUAAGACCUGUGGGUUUCUUAAUUGAACCUGUGGACGUGAAUAUCCAAGUUGCUAGUGGGCCAUACCGGGUAAGCUGGUCUGGCG